UCAAACUUGGUCAUUUAGAGGAAGUAAAAGUCGUAACAAGGUCUCCGUUGGUGAACCAGCGGAGGGAUCAUUACCGAGUUAUCAAACUCCCAAACCCCUGUGAACUAUACCGAUUGUUGCUUCGGCGGUGCCCUCGCUCCCGCGGCGAUGGCCCGCCAGAGGACCACAAACCUUUGUAACUCUUGUAUCGUUGGCACUUCUGAGUGAAGAAAAAAAACAAAUAAAUCAAAACUUUCAACAACGGAUCUCUUGGCUCUGGCAUCGAUGAAGAACGCAGC
rnacentral:misc_RNA from 1 species